rnacentral:rRNA from 1 species
CACGUAGGGCGCGAGCGUUGUCCGGAAUUAUUGGGCGUAAAGAGCUCGUAGGCGGCCUGUUGCGUCCGCUGUGAAAAGCCCCGGGGGCUUAACCCCCGGGUCGGCAGUGGAUACGGGCAGGCUAGAGGUAGGUAGGGGAGAAUGGAAUUCCCGGUGUAGCGGUGAAAUGCGCAGAUAUCGGGAGGAACACCGGUGGCGAAGGCGGUUCUCUGGGCCUUACCUGACGCUGAGGAGCGAAAAGCGUGGGGGAGCGAACAGG